GGAGCAUGUGGUUUAAUUCGAUGCAACGCGAAGAACCUUACCUACUCUUGACAUCCACAGAAUUCGGCAGAGAUGCCUUAGUGCCUUCGGGAACUGUGAGACAGGUGCUGCAUGGCUGUCGUCAGCUCGUGUUGUGAAAUGUUGGGUUAAGUCCCGCAACGAGCGCAACCCUUAUCCUUUGUUGCCAGCACGUAAUGGUGGGAACUCAAAGGAGACUGCCGGUGAUAAACCGGAGGAAGGUGGGGAUGACGUCAAGUCAUCAUGGCCCUUACGAGUAGGGCUACACACGUGCUACAAUGGCGUAUACAAAGAGAAGCGAACUCGCGAGAGCCAGCGGACCUCAUAAAGUACGUCGUAGUCCGGAUCGGAGUCUGCAACUCGACUCCGNGAAGUCGGAAUCGC
rnacentral:rRNA from 1 species